UACGGGGGGGGCAAGCGUUGUUCGGAAUUACUGGGCGUAAAGGGCUCGUAGGUGGCCAACUAAGUCAGACGUGAAAUCCCUCAGCUUAACUGGGGAACUGCGUCUGAUACUGGAUGGCUUGAGUUCGGGAGAGGUGAGUGGAACUGCGAGUGUAGAGGUGAAAUUCGUAGAUAUUCGCAAGAACACCAGUGGCGAAGGCGGCUCACUGGCCCGAUACUGACGCUGAGGCACGAAAGCGUGGGGAGCAAACAGG
rnacentral:rRNA from 1 species